CAAGGAAUCUUCCGCAAUGGACGCAAGUCUGACGGAGCAACGCCGCGUGGGGGAUGACACCCUUCGGGGCGUAAACCCCUUUUCUUGGGGAAGAAGACCGGGAGCGAUCCUGGUUUGACGGUACCCGAGGAAGAAGGCCCGGCUAACCACGUGCCAGCAGCCGCGGUAAUACGUGGGGGCCGAGCGUUGUCCGGAGUUACUGGGCGUAAAGGGCGCGCAGGCGGCGGCGUGGGUCCGGCGUGAAAGCCCCCGGCUCAACCGGGGAACGUCGUCGGGGACCGCGCCGCUUGAGGGCGGCAGGGGCCGGUGGAAUGCCUGGUGUAGUGGUGAAAUGCGUAGAGAUCAGGCGGAACACCCGUGGCGAAGGCGGCCGGCUGGGCCGUCCCUGACGCUGAGGCGCGAAGGCGUGGGGAGCGAACGGGAUUAGAUACCCCGGUAGUCCACGCAGUAAACGAUGCCGACUGGGCGUGGGGGGAGUUGACCCCCUCCGUGCCGGAGCCAACGCGGGAAGUCGGCCGCCUGGGGA
rnacentral:rRNA from 1 species